AGCUCAUGGUAAGGGCAGCAUCUCAAUAGUUCUUUGAAUCUGUCCCAUGCCUCUUGCAGUGUUUCAUCUUCCCUUUGAGAAAAAGCCAGAAUUUCUUGCCUCAACUU